CCGGGAGCCACGUCUCCGAAGACCGAUAGCUGCUUCGGGAUUGGCGUCCGGGCGGCUAUCUAGGGGCUGCUGGGAAGAUGGCGGACUCGGUGGCUAGCCGAUGAGGAGGCCGCGGGGGGAACCCGGCCCCCGGGCCCCGAGACCGACUGAGGGAGCGACCUGCGCAGGGCCCGGGGAGUCAUGCUUUCCAUCUGAUGGUCCCCUGGUGUGUGCCCUGGAACAGGAGCGAAGGCUCCGCCUCCCUCCGAAGCCACCUCCCCCUUUACAGCCCCUUCUCCGAGGUGGGCAAGGGUUGGAAGCUGCUCUAAGCUGCCCCCGUUUUCUGCGGUAUCCACGGCAGCAUCUGAUCAGCAGCCUGGCAGAGGCAAGGCCAGAGGAACUGACUCCCCACGUGAUGGUGCUCCUGGCCCAGCACCUGGCCCGGCACCGGUUGCGGGAGCCCCAGCUUCUGGAAGCCAUUGCCCACUUCCUGGUGGUUCAGGAAACGCAACUCAGCAGCAAGGUGGUACAGAAGUUGGUCCUGCCCUUUGGGCGACUGAACUACCUGCCCCUGGAACAGCAGUUUAUGCCCUGCCUUGAGAGGAUCCUGGCUCGGGAAGCAGGGGUGGCACCCCUGGCUACAGUCAACAUCUUGAUGUCACUGUGCCAACUGCGGUGCCUGCCCUUCAGAGCCCUGCACUUUGUUUUUUCCCCUGGCUUCAUCAACUACAUCAGUGGUACGCAGCCAGGAUGGCUGGCUGGGCCCGAGGGCUGGAGAGGCAGGGGAGCAGGGUGGCCUGCAGCCCAGAGCCCCAGUCCCCGCCUCCCCACAGGCACCCCUCAUGCUCUGAUUGUGCGUCGCUACCUCUCCCUGCUGGACACGGCCGUGGAGCUGGAGCUCCCAGGAUACCGGGGUCCCCGCCUUCCCCGAAGGCAGCAAGUGCCCAUCUUUCCCCAGCCUCUCAUCACCGACCGUGCCCGCUGCAAGUACAGUCACAAGGACAUAGUAGCUGAGGGGUUGCGCCAGCUGCUGGGGGAGGAGAAAUACCGCCAGGACCUGACUGUGCCUCCAGGCUACUGCACAGGUGAGCAAGGGGCAGGCGGCAGGCCCGGGGAGACGGAGCCCUGGCUAAGGCCGCCGGCCCUGCUCCCCCUCCAGACUUCCUGCUGUGCGUCAGCAGCUCUGGUGCUGUGCUUCCCGUGAGGACCCAGGACCCCUUCCUGCCAUACCCACCAAGGUCCUGCCCACAGGGCCAGGCUGCCUCUAGCGCCACUACUCGAGACCCUGCCCAGAGGUAAAGGAGGCAGGGUGGGGGAGCCCUGGCCACCUUGCCCGCCAUGCCCUGAGCCACGUCCCUCCCCCUGCAGAGUGGUGCUGGUGUUGCGGGAACGCUGGCAUUUCUGCCGGGACGGCAGGGUGCUGCUGGGCUCGAGGGCCCUGAGGGAGCGGCACCUAGGCCUGAUGGGCUACCAGCUCCUGCCGGUGAGUGGCCCUGGCCUGGCCCGUGGCGCAUCCUCACUCCCAGCCUGCGGGUAACCUGCCGCCCUCUCCUCUCCCCACAGCUACCCUUCGAGGAACUGGAGUCCCAGAGAGGCCUGCCCCAGCUCAAGAGCUACCUGAGGCAGAAGCUCCAGGCCCUGGGCCUGCGCUGGGGGCCUGAAGGGGGCUGAGGGGAUGAUGUGGGGUUCAGGAUGGCCCCCCCAUGGGGGGUGGAUGAUUUGCACUUUGGUUCCCUGUGUUUUGAUUUCUCAUUAAAGUUCCUUUCC
rnacentral:sRNA from 1 species